UUGUAUUUGCUCAAGUAUUUAUGAUUUGGCAAUAAUAAAAUUCUCUUACUGGCCUCGAUAGGUCCGCAUCGUGCCUCGUUUUUGAAGGUGCAAAACUUGCUGAUGUCAUCAAAGUGUAAGCCCGAUGGACAUCGAUUCAAAUACGGAUACCCAUCAACGCACUUUCGGAAAACGAAUCCAGAGGAUAUAAUUACGAUUAAUCAUAGUAAAACGAUGAUUAAAGUAACCAAGGCGAUGUAAUCACCUGAUAAAAUCUUCUGCAUGUUGCCGGAUCGGCGAAGUUGCCAUUACCCUGACCUUCUGGACACCUGAACUCCUCGUCUUUUUUAUCCUCGUCCUUUUUGUGCUUUUGACUAUGCACUGAAAUGGAGAAAGACGAGAAUCUGAAUAUAAAAAGAAGAAUGUAAAAGGAACAUGCGAGGAUAACAGCAAUAAAGGAAAACAAAAUGUAUAACGUAACUUAUCAAGAGAAGUGCUCGCGGAUGUCAAAAAGAUUCGUUCAGCUGUAAAGUGGAAAGUGAAGAUAUACGUACAUAUAUAAAUCGAGAUCUCUUGGAGGAAAUAGGAACAAAUGAACUAGAGAGAAAGGUGAUCGACGUAGGAAUAAGCGAGGGCGCGCCUACCUGUUACGACGGUCAAGACGGCGCAGAGGAGCACCGCUUCCUGGAGUCUCAUCGUUCCGCGAUUUCAAACGAGAAGCCGCGUUCCGUUCGGGUUCCUUUCGCACGCCUCGUUCAAUCACUUACAAUCACCGCGACCAACCACGGGGAAGACGUAUCAUUAGCUGAUCACUGCGACCAACCGAUCUGAUCCACCGGACUGAUCCGCUGCCGCGACACUGUCGGGGAUACGCCGUCGCCGCCGGCGCGGCACUUCUUGGGAACUGGCCUGGCCUGGCCGGCGAGGAACCGUUCUCAGCUCACAUUGGCUGACCACUUUCUACCGGCCCGCCGCCGCCGCCGUGGCUUCUUUUUUUCCGCGGUAUCCUGAUGUUGAUAUCCAGUGCGAGUCGAGCUCUUAUACGGAUUAAGAUAGUUCGGAUCCCGCUCCGUGAUGUUCAACUCCUGCUCAACUAGGCGGAUCAUCGUGAUGGUCGAUUUGUUUAGUAAGUGGCGCAUUUGAUUGGUGAAAUUCAGGGACCAGUGUAUCGUAGGAUUCCAUCCCUGCUGCGUCUUCAGUAUUCUAUUUUAUUGGCUAAAAAUAUAUAUAUACAUAUAUAUAUAAUUAAAUAAUUGUAUAUAUACCGUCUUUGACAUUGGUAUCUUUUGGAAAAGAAUUAUUGUUCGGCACGAAACCGGCCUUCUCGAUGAUAUUCUUACUGGAUUGGAUGAUCUCUAUUACUUUUUCAGCCAGCAUUGUGAUCAUUUUAUACAGACGUUCAUAAUUAUCUAUCUUUAGGAGAGUCUGUAUAGCUUCUACAUGAUCCUUACGUCGUUCGAUGAACAAUUUCUUGACUGUGUAUAUAAGAAUAAUUAUAUAAGAAAAAGGCCAGAGAUAUUAUAAU